UAGCGUGAAGGAUGACUGCCCUAUGGGUUGUAAACUUCUUUUAUAUGGGAAUAAAGUGCAGUAUGUAUACUGCUUUGCAUGUACCUUAUGAAUAAGGAUCGGCUAACUCCGUGCCAGCAGCCGCGGUAAUACGGAGGAUCCGAGCGUUAUCCGGAUUUAUUGGGUUUAAAGGGAGCGUAGGCGGGUUGUUAAGUCAGUUGUGAAAGUUUGCGGCUCAACCGUAAAAUUGCAGUUGAUACUGGCAUCCUUGAGUACAGUAGAGGUAGGCGGAAUUCGUGGUGUAGCGGUGAAAUGCUUAGAUAUCACGAAGAACUCCGAUUGCGAAGGCAGCCUGCUGGACUGUAACUGACGCUGAUGCUCGAAAGUGUGGGUAUCAAACAGGAUUAGAUACCCUGGUAGUCCACACAGUAAACGAUGAAUACUUGCUGUUUGCGAUAUACAGUAA
rnacentral:rRNA from 1 species